GCCCUUUUGAAAGGGAAACGAUUGAAGUCAGUCGUACCUUCGGGUAAUCAGCCUUUCGAGUGCGAUUCUGUGGAGCGUGAGGAGUUAAACGCCUUCAUGCCUGCAUAUUCGUGCACUUUGGGUGUACUUGCCCGUGUGGUAGGUUAACAUCAAUUUCGGAUGUCAUAAAAUGGCUGGAGGAAUGUAGCUUCGGUCUCGUACUGAAGUGUUAUAGCCUUUGGCAGAUGUGAUGACCGGGAUUGAGGAUUGCAACGAAUACCUUUUGGGCUACCCGCCUGAUCUCUGAAAGUUGCUCUGGUGCCGAAAGCUUGCUUACGGUUAUCAAAGUUGACGUUCAAAAGGUUAGAACGGGUUAAAUUCGUUAAGGAUGUUGACGU
rnacentral:rRNA from 1 species